UCUCUGUAGAACAUACUGAAUGUAGUAUCCUUCAAUGAAGCCUUGUAUCUUAAGUCAACAACAAGAGCAAGCGUGCUUGCCUUGUUGGAAGUUGGCAACACUGUCCCUGUGCUUGGAGGUUGUUUAGACAACCAGCAGCUCUGUUAAAUUCAUUAACAAAGUCCACAGAUCAAACGACGGUGGUCCAAAGUUUUGUGUUCUUGAAUAAUGAGAACUGGGGAAACUUGUGGAUUAAAAUAUGACCGGCCUACCCUUGAAAAGGGGUUAGACUCAUGCGUUCCGUAGGUGAACCUGCGGAAGGAUCAUUACUGAGAACUUGCCCUUUUGGGUAGAUCUCCCACCCUAUGUUUAUAUACUUCGUUGCUUUGGCAGGCCUGAAUUUGUGCUGCUGGCCUUUGGCUAGUUAGUGCCUGCCAGAGAACCAACACUCUGAAUCAUUUAUUGUCUGAGUACUAUUUAAUAGUUAAAACUUUCAACAACGGAUCUCUUGGUUCUG
rnacentral:misc_RNA from 1 species